UAUGGGGUACUCAAGUGGUUAAGAGGAUAGUCUUUGAAACUAUUAUUCGAGGGUUCAAACCCCUCUCCCAUAGCCA
rnacentral:tRNA from 1 species